rnacentral:rRNA from 1 species
ACUCCUGCGGGAGGCAGCAGUGGGGAAUAUUGCACAAUGGGCGCAAGCCUGAUGCAGCCAUGCCGCGUGUAUGAAGAAGGCCUUCGGGUUGUAAAGUACUUUCAGCGGGGAGGAAGGCAAUACGGUUAAUAACCGUGUUGAUUGACGUUACCCGCAGAAGAAGCACCGGCUAACUCCGUGCCAGCAGCCGCGGUAAUACGGAGGGUGCAAGCGUUAAUCGGAAUUACUGGGCGUAAAGCGCACGCAGGCGGUCUGUCAAGUCGGAUGUGAAAUCCCCGGGCUCAACCUGGGAACUGCAUUCGAAACUGGCAGGCUUGAGUCUUGUAGAGGGGGGUAGAAUUCCAGGUGUAGCGGUGAAAUGCGUAGAGAUCUGGAGGAAUACCGGUGGCGAAGGCGGCCCCCUGGACAAAGACUGACGCUCAGGUGCGAAAGCGUGGGGAGCAAACAGGAUUAGAAACCCCGGUAGUCCCAUG